rnacentral:rRNA from 1 species
GUCCUUUUGAUUAUAAUUUAAGGUCUAACCUGCCCAAUGAAUUUUAAAUGGCCGCAGUAUUUUAACUGUGCAAAGGUAGCAUAAUCAUUAGUUUCUUAAUUAGAAGCUUGUAUGAAUGGUUGAACGAAAAAUUUACUGUCUCAAUUUAUAUAUUAAAAUUUUAUUUUUAAGUUAAAAAGCUUAAAUAAAUUUAAAAGACGAGAAGACCCUAUAGAGUUUUAUAGUUAAUAAAAUUUUAUUUAUAGAAUUAUAAAUAUUUUAAAAAUUAUUUUAUUGGGGUGAUAUAUAAAUUUAUUAAACUUUAUAUUAUUUAUAACAUUGAUUUAUGAAUUAUUGAUCCAUUAAUUAUGAUUAAAAGAAAAAAUUACCUUAGGGAUAACAGCGUUAUUUUUUUUUAGAGUUCUAAUCGAAAAAAAAGAUUGCGACCUCGAUGUUGGAUUAAAGUUAAUUUUUGGUGUAGAAGCUAGAAUAUUAGGUCUGUUCGACCUUUAAAACUUUACAUGAUCUGAGUUUAAACCGGCGUGAGCCAGGUUGGUUUCUAUCUUUAAAAAAAUUAAAUAUUUUAGUACGAAAGGACCAAUUAUUUUUAAAAUUUAGUAAAUAUUGAAUA